rnacentral:rRNA from 1 species
CCUACGGGAGGCAGCAGUAGGGAAUCUUCCACAAUGGACGAAAGUCUGAUGGAGCAACGCCGCGUGAGUGAAGAAGGGUUUCGGCUCGUAAAGCUCUGUUGGUAGUGAAGAAAGAUAGAGGUAGUAACUGGCCUUUAUUUGACGGUAAUUACUUAGAAGGUCACGGCUAACUACGUGCCAGCAGCCGCGGUAAUACGUAGGUGGCAAGCGUUGUCCGGAUUUAUUGGGCGUAAAGCGAGUGCAGGCGGUUUAAUAAAGCUGAUGUGAAAGACUUUGGGUCAA